rnacentral:lncRNA from 1 species
CGUGCUCGUGACAUGCGUGGCGAGCUGGUGUGUGAGCGACAUUCGUCUUGUCCAUGCAGCUCGGCGGGCCGAGCUGGGCGGUGCCGCUCGGCCGGUGCGACUCGACGACGGCGAGCCGCAGCGAAGCGAACAGCGACCUGCCGGGGCCGGGGAGCAACCUCACCAUGCUCAUCGCGCGGUUCGGCAACAAGGGCCUAAGCCCGCGCGACAUGACGGCGCUGUCGGGCUCGCACACCGUCGGCUUCUCGCAGUGCACC